rnacentral:rRNA from 1 species
GAUGAACGCUGGCGGCGUGCCUAAUACAUGCAAGUCGAGCGAACCACUUCGGAGGUGAGCGGCGAACGGGCGAGUAACACGUAGGUGAUCUGCCCAUCAGACGGGGACAACGAUUGGAAACGAUCGCUAAUACCGGAUAGGACGAUCGUUUAAAGGUGCUUCUGGCACCGCCGAUGGAUGAGCUUGCGGCGCCUUAGCGAGUUGGUAGGGUAAAGGCCUACCAAGGCGACGAUGCGUAGCCGACCUGAGAGGGUGAACGGCCACACGGGGACUGAGACACGGCCCAGACUCCUACGGGAGGCAGCAGUAGGGAAUCUUCGGCAAUGGGCGAAAGCCUGACCGAGCAACGCCGCGUGAAUGAUGAAGGCCGUCGGGUUGUAAAAUUCUGUUAUAAGGGAAGAACGACUUUAGUAGGAAAUGGCUAGAGUGUGACGGUACCUUAUGAGAAAGCCACGGCUAACUACGUGCCAGCCGCCGCCGUAA